GCAUAUCAAUAAGCGGAGGAAAAGAAACCAACCGGGAUUGCCUCAGUAACGGCGAGUGAAGCGGCAAAAGCUCAAAUUUGAAAUCCUGCGGGAGUUGUAAUUUGAAGGUUUCGGGUUCAGAGGCUGUGCGCGCCCAAGUCCAUUGGAACAUGGCGCCUGGGAGGGUGAGAGCCCCGUCCGGCGCGGCGCAGCCCUCGUUGCGGCCCGAUUCCGACGAGUCGAGUUGUUUGGGAAUGCAGCUCAAAGUGGGUGGUAAAUUCCAUCUAAAGCUAAAUAUUGGCGAGAGACCGAUAGCGAACAAGUACAGUGAUGGAAAGAUGAAAAGCACUUUGAAAAGAGAGUGAAACAGUACGUGAAAUUGUUGAAAGGGAAGGGCUUGCAAGCAGACACGGUUUCGGCCGGGCCAGCAUCGGUUUGUCGGGGCGGACAAUGCGGCGGGAAUGUGGCACGCGCCCUUGUGGCGCGUGUGUUUAUAGCCCGGCGAGAUACGCCCACGGCAGACCGAGGCCUGCGAUCCUUGAUCUAGGAUGCUGGCGUAAUGGUUGCAAGCCGC
rnacentral:rRNA from 1 species